AACUAGGAUUUCGCUGGUUUGCAGGAUGGCGCCGGAUGAAUUAACACACAAAUCCACACAAUCCAGCAUAGGCGUUUUGGUACUGAUCGUUGCCAUCCUGCAAAUGUUCUAAUAAUUUUAGUACUGAGCAUGCCAUCCUGCAAAAUGCACGCAGCCGUUCUUGAAAACGUCAGAAAAAUGUUUUGAUUUCGAUUUCUUUUACUGUCGAUUUCGUAAUAUUGGCUUUGGUCAAUUUGCUUCCGAAAAAUUAAUUUCCAGACAUUUUCCUGUUCGAAUUUUGAAACAGAUAGGCAUACCUCUGUAAAUAUAGACCGCAGGGCGAUGCAAAAGAUCACCGAGGCCUGCUACCGAAUGCGAUCCGAUUGCAUGAAUGAUAAUAUUCAUGCCAGGAGUGGCAGUGUUGAAAAAGGAACUACCGCGAAUCAAGAUUGCUUUCCCGGAUUACUCGAUUUUCGGUCGAUCCAUCCGAAACGAUGUUAUCGGUGCAGCUGCGAUCAAAAGAUCCCAAAACAAACCAUUCGAAAGCUGAGACCGGUCGACAGGUGCUUUGCUGCUUAUCUCCCAAAUUGGUGGCGAAAUACGGAUCGAUUAUUUGCAAUACCUGAGAAACCCAAACAACUGGUCAGAAUUCGAAUAACGACAAAUAGAAGUGAUGAUCUACUACAAUGUGGUACAUGGAGAUUCUAUGAUACUGAAUGCAUUCAGAAAGCUACCCUCGAACCGUUAUCUUGGCUGUUUCAUUGCAGAAUAAUCUUCUUGGAAAUAGCCAAUCGUGAUUGCGCUUCAUCUGAGGCAUGGUACUGAGCGUGGCCCAUUGCCAUAUGCCAUUCCUUUAGAGGGUUAACUUGGAUCAAGAUAGGCAUACACAGGAAAAGUAUAAUGAGGCACCAGGAAACUUCAAGUUUGCUCUCCUGGCCGACAAAUGCUGCGGCUGGUUUUGAAAUAGUUGAAAAAAGAAAAGAUUGAAAGUUCUAGUCCUGUGCGGAUGAAGACCAGCCUUGUAAGCUUUCGUAUAGUCAACAUGCCAGAAACACUAGUUCAUCGGUGGAAUGAGUUCUGGACGCAAAACCCGUCACGACAAACAUCAGUACCAAAUAUUCUCAUAAACGAAGAUCUGAAAAUGUACUCCAUUGCGUUGUCUCUAAUAUUGUUGAUUUCUUUCCCCAGCGGGUUACGUUGUUCAAAGGGUGGCUAAAUUGAAUAAUUUUCUUUUAAAGGUUAGCAUCGAAAAGCAAACUGGUUCUUUAUACGCACAUACCUACAUCUCUGAAUUUUGGAAAAUGCUUUGUUAGUCGAUACACAAAGAUUUUACGUGGUUUAACAUUUUCCAACCGAUAUCAGAACAAACCUCUUGAUCGUGUUCAACUGUUUCAUGUAAGCCAUUACGGAAGAGUUAUCAAGCUUUUAAAUCUUAGUGUCCAUCAUGAUGAAGAGCAGUAAGUUAUUUUAAUACAAUUUGUAAGCAACUUUUUAUUACUUUAGGGCGGUUUUGAGGCUUUCGUUUUGAAAAGAUUUGUUUUUUUCGUUUCCAUUAAAACAAUAAACUGCAUUAAGUUCAAUUCAAUAAACUAUUCCUUAGCGUUCCGGCGUCGUGGCAGCCAGUCUCAAGUUGAUGCUCCAGAAAGGGAUUAGCAGUAUGCAUAUCAUAAGCCGGUGGGUACGGGGUACCAUCAGCAUCCUUUGGAAUGCAUGAACAAGGUUUCCAUCGUCCUAGAAUAUCUGAUACAGGAAUUCUUAG